AUGCUCCCUUCGGCAGCACAUAUAUAAAAUUGGAAUGAUACAGAGAAGAUUAGCAUGGCUCCUGCACUGGGAUGACAUGCAAAUUUGUGAAGUGUUCCAUAUUUAA
rnacentral:snRNA from 1 species